CGUGUUGGAAAUUACUGUUUCUUGAAGACGUUUAUGACAUUGACUUGGACUUGACUUGAUCCUGUAGUUAAACAUGCAAAUCAGAAUAGAGGCGAGAAGACGAAGAAGAAAAAUGAUGAAAAAGGCCUGCUAGUUUCAAGGUCAGAAUUUCUGUUGAACUCUCAAUGAAGAAAAAGAAGCACCGGAUGUUGAAGGGCUAUUGAUCAUAGUGAGGAAGAUGCAGGUGAGGAAUUUCAAAAGGAGGAAGCAGUUCCAUCAAAUGAGAUGUCUAAACUCUAAAGAGUGUAAAGGGCCAAAAA